CGGCGUGCCUAAUACAUGCAAGUCGAACGCACUCUCGUUUAGAUUGAAGGAGCUUGCUCCUGAUUGAUAACAUUUGAGUGAGUGGCGGACGGGUGAGUAACACGUGGGUAACCUGCCCUAAGUGGGGAUAACAUUUGGAAACAGAUGCUAAUACCGCAUAAAACCUAACACCGCAUGGUGUAGGGUUGAAAGAUGGUUUCGGCUAUCACUUUAGGAUGGACCCGCGGUGCAUUAGUUAGUUGGUGAGGUAAAGGCUCACCAAGACCGUGAUGCAUAGCCGACCUGAGAGGGUAAUCGGCCACACUGGGACUGAGACACGGCCCAGACUCCUACGGGAGGCAGCAGUAGGGAAUCUUCCACAAUGGACGAAAGUCUGAUGGAGCAACGCCGCGUGAGUGAAGAAGGUUUUCGGAUCGUAAAACUCUGUUGUUGGAGAAGAAUGUAUCUGAUAGUAACUGAUCAGGUAGUGACGGUAUCCAACCAGAAAGCCACGGCUAACUACGUG
rnacentral:rRNA from 1 species